rnacentral:rRNA from 1 species
UACGUAGGGGGCAAGCGUUGUCCGGAUUUAUUGGGCGUAAAGAGCGUGUAGGCGGCUUUGCAAGUCCGUUGUGAAAACUCGAGGCCCAACCUCGAGACGCCGGUGGAAACUGCAAAGCUAGAGUCCGGAAGAGGAGAGUGGAAUUCCUGGUGUAGCGGUGAAAUGCGCAGAUAUCAGGAAGAACACCCGUGGCGAAGGCGGCUCUCUGGGACGGUACUGACGCUGAGACGCGAAAGCGUGGGGAGCGAACAGG